rnacentral:rRNA from 1 species
GGCUUAGAGUUUGAUCAUGGCUCAGGAUGAACGCUGGCGGCGUGCCUAACACAUGCAAGUCGAGCGAAGCACUUUACUCUGAAUCUUUCGGGAGGACGAGUGAUUUGACUGAGCGGCGGACGGGUGAGUAACGCGUGGGUAACCUGCCUCACACAGGGGGAUAACAGUUAGAAAUGACUGCUAAUACCGCAUAAGGCCACAGCACCGCAUGGUGCAGGGGCAAAAACUCCGGUGGUGUGAGAUGGGCCCGCGUCUGAUUAGUUAGUUGGCGGGGUAACGGCCCACCAAGGCGACGAUCAGUAGCCGACCUGAGAGGGUGACCGGCCACAUUGGGACUGAGACACGGCCCAAACUCCUACGGGAGGCAGCAGUGGGGAAUAUUGCACAAUGGGGGAAACCCUGAUGCAGCGACGCCGCGUGAGCGAAGAAGUAUUUCGGUAUGUAAAGCUCUAUCAGCAGGGAAGAAAUUGACGGUACCUGACUAAGAAGCACCGGCUAAAUACGUGCCAGCAGCCGCGGUAAUACGUAUGGUGCAAGCGUUAUCCGGAUUUACUGGGUGUAAAGGGAGCGUAGACGGAGCAGCAAGUCUGGAGUGAAAACCCGGGGCUCAACCCCGGGACUGCUUUGGAAACUGUUGUUCUAGAGUGCUGGAGAGGUAAGUG